rnacentral:rRNA from 1 species
UACGUAGGGGGCAAGCGUUAUCCGGAUCUACUGGGUGUAAAGGGAGCGUAGACGGUUAUGCAAGUCAGAAGUGAAAGCCCAAAGCUCAACUUCGGGACUGCUUUUGAAACUGUGUAACUAGAGUGCAGGAGGGGUAAGCGGAAUUCCUAGUGUAGCGGUGAAAUGCGUAGAUAUUAGGAGGAACACCGGCGGCGAAGGCGGCUUACUGGACUGUAACUGACGUUGAGGCUCGAAAGCGUUGGGAGCAAACAGG